CCAGUCGAAUGUUGUAAUCUAUUCUGAGAUUCGUGAGUGUGUGUUGCUAAAUGAUUUAAUGAUCAGCCUUUCUCUGUGUUCUUCGCGGAGCUAACAUAUAUUUGUUUACAUCAUCACUGGCGGUUUUAUAGUCGAAAGAAGCCAUGCAUACGAUCUCUGCAAAUGUCAACAUCGUCAGAGCCCAUAAUGUCAAGAGGGUAAACAGACACUGAUUAGAAAUGAGAUAUCAUUUAUAAUAUCACCAUAGCAACGCUAACACUAAAGGCAAUUUUAUCAAGAUAGAGAACAAGGAUGGGAGGCAACCUCUUGAGAGCGUUCUUCUGGUUAUGGCUGCAGCAACUUGCGGCCCACAACAUUAUGUCCCAUUCAGUAAUGUACAACACAAGUUUGAGUUGCCUUACAUGUUAUAAUGGGCAACCGUCUGUUGACUGUGUAACGUUUGUGAACGCCAGUGAAAUUCCUGUUGAGAUAUGUGGUCAGCAUCAACCAUUUUGUAAAGUACGUAGACUGCACACGGAGGACAAACUGACCAGCUUGGAGCGUGGAUGUGAUGACCAGUGCACGCCAGGCUGCACGGACACUGGCCUGUAUUUGGAGUGUUUUUCCUGCUGUUCGGAGUCGUUGUGUAACGCUGACAAUCUUGCGAAAUCAAUUCAUAACGCAGAACUGUUCGUUCCAUGGACUAUACAGAAACUAAUUGUGUCAGUAAUCUUCAUAAUUAAGUACAUAUGAAAUUGUCUUUGGAAUGGGACUACAGAUGCGAAUGAAAAUAUACACGUGAAUAUUAUUGAUUAAUGAAGCUAUUUAUGCGUUUUUUCGCCUUGAUGAGUUGCUGUCGAUUACAAUUAAAAUUGUUUUUUUUUGCUUCCUCUUAGCUUAUUUUUAUGCCAUAUAGUCCGAUUACCUGGCAUUGUAAGCUUUGCUGCGAGUUCGACCAAAGAGGUGCUUUUCACUCUAAAGGUACUUCAAGUCAUACCAAGUGAUACUCGUAUGGCUCCUUAUUUUCCAUGAAUGUCUAUUUUUAAAUGUAUUUCUAGAGGAUGUGAACUAUCUAGAAAAGGAAGUAUAAUUAAACUUUUCUUUCUUGUUAAUUAGUACCCAAUGUUAGAAACUGAAAAAUCGAGAAAAGAUCUCAUUGUAAGUUAGGUGGCCAUAUCUGGCUUCUCAGCAGUGAUUUCCAGAAUGUGUCUAAAAGAUGUUUCAAUUGUUUUACCGAGUGCAGUCCUUUCAAGGAGAGCAAAUCGUCAUCAGAAGAUUAUCAGCACAUAAUAAUGGCAAUGUCUCCAAAGAUGAGUGCAGAGUUUCACAUGACUACGACAACCCAGUUGUGACCUGCACAUUUUUCCGCAUCUCGUGCAGACAAAGCCGUUGUCCUCUGGCGGUUUAUUGAAGUCAUCUGCGUUUCCAUUGCAGGCACUCGUUCACGUCAUUGUCCUACAUAGUGUGAACAUUGCAACGUGAAAUUUUGAGAGGUAGCUGCUUUUUUACUCGGGGAUGAUUCGCCAUUACGUAGGACUUGUGACACACAGCAAGGCCUCCAGUCUGAACUAUGUCAUUUUAAAAUGCAGUGUGGAUUGCGCAGACUAAAAUCACUCUAUGUGGCAAAUUUCAACCACAGUGGUUCAUGACUAAAAGAGGUUCACGUGAUCUCUUGGAAGAAAUAAUAAUAAUAAUAAGGUUUUUGUCUUUAACAAUGAAUACACACCUUAUUCUUACAGUAUUUACUCAGCAUUGGUUGUUAAUUUAGAUCUAUAUCUUGUGCACUUUUUUUUUAAACGCGGAAUAUAAACAUCUGUGAAGAGAAAAUUAAUGAUGCAGAAAUAUUGAUAAUUUUUUAAUAUAUGUAUUAUUUUUUUUACCGAACUAUGGAUGAUUUUAUUAACGUUUAUUGUAACAAAAGUAUGGGAAUAUAAAUCAACAUUUGUUAUUCUU
rnacentral:sRNA from 1 species